UUUAGGGCUAGCCUCAGGGAAUGCACAUAGACGGUAGAGCUCUGAUCGGGCUAGGGGGCGUAAAGCCUACCGACCCCAGUCAAACUGCGAAUGGCUAUGUGAGAAGAACCUGGGAGUCAGACUGCGAGUGAUAAGACCCGUAGUCAAGAGGGAAACAGCCCAGACCGCCGACUAAGGUCCCCAAUGCUGUACUAAGUGGAAAAGGAUGUAGGACUUCAGAAACAACCAGGAUGUUGGCUCAGAAGCAGCCACCAUUUAAAGAGUGCGUAAUAGCUCACUGGUCGAGAGACCCUGCGCCGAAGAUUACCGGGGCUAAAGUACGAAACCGAAGCUGUGGCUACGACGUAAGUCGUGGGGUAGGGGAGCGUUCUGUGAGGGCUGAAGUCGUUCUGUAAGGAACGGUGGACUUCACAGAAGUGAGAAUGUUGGUAUGAGUAGCGAAAAGAAUGGUGAGAAUCCAUUCCACCGAAAGCAUAAGGAUUCCUGAGCAACGAUCGUCGUCUCAGGGUAAGUCGGGACCUAAUCCGAGGCAAAGAGCGUAGGAGAUGGACAACUGGUUGAUAUUCCAGUACCGGCAGUGAUCGUUUGAACGAAGGAGUGACGCAGGAAGGCAGGUCCGCACGAGAUUGGUAGAUCGUGUGCAAGCGUGCAGGCUGGUUACCAGGCAAAUCCGGUAACUGAGGCUGAGGCGUGAUGCGGAGGGAACUUGUUCCCGAAGGGAUUGAGCCUACGCUGCCGAGAAAAGCUUCUAGUGAGAAAGCUGCCGCCCGUACCGUAAACCGACACAGGUAUGCGGGGAGAGAAUCCUAAGGUGCGCGGGAGAACCCUCGUUAAGGAACUCGGCAAAAUGUACCCGUAACUUCGGGAUAAGGGUAGCCGCUGUUGUGAAGUCUGAACAGACGGAGCAUGAGGCGGUCGCAGAGAAGAGGCCCAAGCGACUGUUUACCACAAACACAGGUGCCUGCUAAAGAGAAAUCUGACGUAUAGGUGCUGACACCUGCCCAGUGCCGGAAGGUUAAGGAAGGAUGUCCGGAGCAAUCCAAAGCAUUCGACCGAAGCCCCGGUGAACGGCGGCCGUAACUAUAACGGUCCUAAGGUAGCGAAAUUCCUUGUCGGGUAAG
rnacentral:rRNA from 1 species